UGUGAGCAGCACUUACUGUGCAGCAUAGAACUUGCAUUGCUGGCAAUCAGCAAUAAGCUCAAGAAAACCAGCUAUGAUCUGUGCAAAGCUAUCAAGGCUGCAAAACAACAAUACAGGGACAAGAUUGAGUCAAGAUUCACAAUGAAUAGCACACAGGACUUGUGCUUUUCUAAUUUUAUGCUGGUUUGAUGUCACUAACUCUGAGCCUCCGAGGAAAAACACCGCUUCAACCUGCAACCUGGUCAUCUCUGAGGCUGAGGUAACAGAUGUUUCCAACAAGUGGACAGUUGCAAGGCUGCGGGACUGGAUGGCAUCCCAGGGCGAGUACUCAGGAUGUGCACAACACAACUGGCAAGUUCUUUUGAAGACCCUGACCUGGAGUUACAUGCUGGCUUUCGUUCUUUGCAGAAAUGGGACCCACUCUCAGGGACUCACAACCGACCGAUAUGCCAAGGACACGGCCUGGAAGUCUAGUGCACCUUCAGAGUGCUGGAUUCAAGGCCGGAGUUCGCCACCUGAUGUGUCAUGGGAGCACACGGACGAUUGAAA